UCCGUCUUCAGUGAGGUGGUAAAGUUUCUAUUGCUGGGGUGGCUCACACAGUUAUCUCAGGCAUGGGUCCCGUGUGGUGCAAAAGGUAGGUCCGGGUUCGCGGCCCCACAGCACUAAUAGAGGUUUUAAAGUCCCGUUUAUUUUCUCAGAGCCUGGCCCCGUCCUCGCCGUAGCUUCGCCUGCGUGAGUGGCGGGGUCGUUCCCGGGAAGCGGGGACCUCCCGGUUCUGGAAGCGGGCUACUUGGGCGACCCAGAGGGUCCCAGCGCGGUGACCCUCUUCUGAGACUUGACCUUUUUUUCCCGUUUGCAUUAAGGUAGGGUUUCUCAGCCUAAGCACUACUGACAUUUUGGGCCAGAUAAUUGUUUUUUUGGGGGGGGGGAGCAGUCCUGUGCGCUGUAGGGUGUUUAUCUGCAUCCCCUUCUUUCCUCCAGUUGUGACAACCAAAAAUGUCUCCAGAUUACCAGACAUCCCCUCCCGGGGAAAAUCGUUGGGAGAUAGGAUUAGGUUUAGGAGAUACUCUGGGUUUUGGGGAAGUGACCCUUUUCAGAGCCGGCAUCAACGAUGUCUUAGCUACGUGAAGGAACUUGUGGCCGGGCUCGCCCGCUCUUCCAGACGCUCUCGUUCCUGUUCCAGCGUCUCGCUGGAGUCGGUCGUGGUCCAGGAGUCAGAGCCCGCACGGGAGAAGGAGCAGGUCACGACCUCGGUCCGGAAGGCGCCACCAGAGAAAGUACGGGCGCCACUCGCAGUCUUCCUCGCGGAGCGGGUCGCGACCCCGCAGGAAGUGCCGCUCUCGGGGAAGGUCGUAUUACAGAAGGGCCUUCUCGAACACGCGGGGUGACAGUACUAGGGCUUUGACCCUGUAGUGUACCCACGCGGGGUGACAGUACUAGGGCUUUGACCCUGUAGUGUACCCGAAAGAACACAGCACUUGGAGGGAGAGAUCCAGGAAGAGGUCGCAGAGCAGAACCCCGUUUCCUGAUCCCAUCCAGGACAGCACACUACAUUUAUGUCUCCUGAGGCUCCUCUUAACUGUGACAGUUUCUCAGACUUUCCUUGUUUCUGAUGCACAGAUUUGAGGAUUACUGGUCAGGAAUAUUGUAGGUGUUGGUUAUUUUUUGUAUGUAAUAUUUCAUGAUUAAAAAUUACUCAUCGGGGGACUUUCCUGGUGGUCCAGUGGUUAAGAAUCCAUCUGCCAAUGCAGGGGACACAGGUUCCAUCCCUGGUCUGGAAAGAUCCCAUAUGCCGUGGGACAGCUAAGCCUGUGCACCACAACUACCACAGCUACUGAAGCCUGCAUGCCUAGAGCCUGUGCUCCACAGCAAGAGAAGCCACUUCAGUGAGAAGCCCGUGCACCGUAACGAAGAGUAGCCCCACUCGCCGCAUCUAGAGAAAAGACUGCGCACAGCAAUGAAGACCCAGCGCAGCCAAAAAAAAAAAAAAGAACCUAAGAGUGGUGAUCAUUAAAAAAAAAAAAGAAAAAUUACUAAUCAGGGACUUCCCUCGCAGUCCAGUGGUUAAGCAUUCGUGCUUCCACUGCAGGGGGCACAGGUUCAAUUCCUGGUUGGGGAACUAAGAUCCUGCAUGCCAUACGGCGCGACCAAAAAGAGAAAAAAAUUACUAAUCGUGAUAGCAAUACCUGUUGGGCCUACCUUAAAACACACACAGACACACACACACACACACACACAACACCUCCAUGCUAUCAAUUUAGUGCAAGCCAGCAUCAUUUCUCACUCUAAUCACUGCAGUUGUCUCUCUGCUCUAUAUUGGGCCUCCACUCCCCCCAUCUUUUCUCCACACAGAAGCCAGAGAGGCUUUAAAAUAUAAAUCAGCUUCUAUUUCUUCUGGUCUCCAGAUGCUUCAGUGGCUUCUUUUCUUGUAGACUAAAAUACACUACAGGAUCCUUCAUGCUCUCAUCACUUAUCACUCUUCCCCCGGCUCACUCUGCUCUGUCACACUGGCUUCCUUGUAGCCCCUGAAACACACCGCACUCCUGCCCUAGGACCGUUGCACCUGUCCUUUACCUGGAACGUUCCUCCCCCGCACAGCCAGAGGCUCACUCCUCCACUCUUUCUAGUCUCUGCUCAGAUGUCACCUCUUCAGAGAGGCAUUCCCUCGCACCUUAGCUUGCAGUCCGCCCCCCACAAGUUGUCCUCUUUCUCCUUAGCUUUUUUUUUUAAUUCAAAAUAUCACUACCUGACAUUGCAUUCUACAUCUUAAUUUGUUUAUUGUCUGUCUCUUCCAUUAGAAUACAAGUUUCACGAGGCCAAGCACUUAAUACAAUUUGUUUAUUGCUGUACCUUAGGCUCAAAGUUAACAAAUAUUGGUUACAUUAAUUAGUCAAUAAAAUACUUCUUUUUUUUUUUUUACAAGGAAGUUGGUUGUUAGGUAAGGUGGUUCACAAUCUGGGACUCCUGAACUCCUAGAUAUCUUUGAAGGUGGCAGUUUUCUGAAUUUCUAAAGAUCUGGUCAGACUACACGUUACUUACAGGGGGAUGGUUCAUUAAUGGAUAUAUCUCCAGAACCUGGGAUAAUUCCUUGAAUACACUGAGCACUCAAUAGAGAUACCCGUAUUAUAAUUAACUGGAAUGAAAUUGGCAAUGUGGCAAAGCAAAGUCUUUGUGAUGGCAGCAUAUCUGAAAGGCAGAGGAAUACUGAGAAAGUUUAUGUACAAGGACAAUAAUCACACAUUAAAAUUAUAUAAUGUUUGUUAGUAACACUGUUAUGGACUGAAUUGUGUCUCCGUGCCCCACCCCUCCCCCUGUAGCCCUAACCCCCAUUAUGACUAUAUUUGGAGAUAGAGCCUCUAAGGAAGUCAUUAAGGUUAAAUGAGGUCAUAACAGCGGAGCCCUAAUCUAAUAGAACUAGUGUCCUUAUAAGAAGAGGAAGAGACAGGUGUGCACAGAGAAAAGGCCAUGUGAAUACACAGUGAGAAGGCCACUACCUGCAAGCUAGGAAGAGGUCUCGAAAAACCAACCCCUCUAGCACCUUGAUCUUGGACUUCCAGCCUCCAGAACUGUAAACAAAUAAAUUUCUGUGGUUUUAAGCCACCUAGUCCGAUUUCAGUCACUAUGAGUGGUAUCAUCUUAGAAGGUGAAGGACAAUGGAAGGAAGACAAGGAAGACACCCCAUCCCGUGUUUUGGGGGUGGCUUCAGAUUCAUUGUUUUAUGUACUAUAUGGGAAGAUAUCUAUGAAAUAAAAUUGUAUCUCCGUUGUAAAUAA